rnacentral:rRNA from 1 species
GGGUUGUGAGGUUAAGCGACUAAGCGUACACGGUGGAUGCCCUGGCAGUCAGAGGCGAUGAAGGACGUGCUAAUCUGCGAUAAGCGUCGGUAAGGUGAUAUGAACCGUUAUAACCGGCGAUUUCCGAAUGGGGAAACCCAGUGUGAUUCGUCACACUAUCAUUACGUGAAUACAUAGCGUAAUGAAGCGAACCGGGGGAACUGAAACAUCUAAGUACCCCGAGGAAAAGAAAUCAACCGAGAUUCCCCCAGUAGCGGCGAGCGAACGGGGAGCAGCCCAGAGUCUGAAUCAGCUUGUGUGUUAGUGGAACGGUCUGGAAAGUCCGACGGUACAGGGUGAUAGUCCCGUACACCAAAAUGCACAGGUUGUGAACUCGAAGAGUAGGGCGGGACACGUGGUAUCCUGUCUGAAUAUGGGGGGACCAUCCUCCAAGGCUAAAUACUCCUGACUGACCGAUAGUGAACCAGUACCGUGAGGGAAAGGCGAAAAGAACCCCGGCGAGGGGAGUGAAAAAGAACCUGAAACCGUGUACGUACAAGCAGUGGGAGCAUCCUUUUGGGUGUGACUGCGUACCUUUUGUAUAAUGGGUCAGCGACUUAUAUUCUGUAGCAAGGUUAACCGUAUAGGGGAGCCGAAGGGAAACCGAGUCUUAACUGGGCGUUAAGUUGCAGGGUAUAGACCCGAAACCCGGUGAUCUAGCCAUGGGCAGGUUGAAGGUUGGGUAACACUAACUGGAGGACCGAACCGACUAAUGUUGAAAAAUUAGCGGAUGACUUGUGGCUGGGGGUGAAAGGCCAAUCAAACCGGGAGAUAGCUGGUUCUCCCCGAAAGCUAUUUAGGUAGCGCCUCGUGAACUCAUCUUCGGGGGUAGAGCACUGUUUCGGCUAGGGGGUCAUCCCGACUUACCAACCCGAUGCAAACUGCGAAUACCGAAGAAUGUUAUCACGGGAGACACACGGCGGGUGCUAACGUCCGUCGUGAAGAGGGAAACAACCCAGACCGCCAGCUAAGGUCCCAAAGUCAUGGUUAAGUGGGAAACGAUGUGGGAAGGCACAGACAGCCAGGAUGUUGGCUUAGAAGCAGCCAUCAUUUAAAGAAAGCGUAAUAGCUCACUGGUCGAGUCGGCCUGCGCGGAAGAUGUAACGGGGCUAAACCAUGCACCGAAGCUGCGGCAGCGACACUAUGUGUUGUUGGGUAGGGGAGCGUUCUGUAAGCCGUUGAAGGUGUAUCGUGAGGUAUGCUGGAGGUAUCAGAAGUGCGAAUGCUGACAUAAGUAACGAUAAUGCGGGUGAAAAACCCGCACGCCGGAAGACCAAGGGUUCCUGUCCAACGUUAAUCGGGGCAGGGUGAGUCGACCCCUAAGGCGAGGCCGAAAGGCGUAGUCGAUGGGAAACAGGUUAAUAUUCCUGUACUUGGUGUUACUGCGAAGGGGGGACGGAGAAGGCUAUGUUAGCCGGGCGACGGUUGUCCCGGUUUAAGCAUGUAGGCGGAGGUUCCAGGUAAAUCCGGUACCUUUUUAACGCUGAGGUGUGAUGACGAGGCACUACGGUGCUGAAGUAACAAAUGCCCUGCUUCCAGGAAAAGCCUCUAAGCAUCAGGUAACACGAAAUCGUACCCCAAACCGACACAGGUGGUCAGGUAGAGAAUACCAAGGCGCUUGAGAGAACUCGGGUGAAGGAACUAGGCAAAAUGGUGCCGUAACUUCGGGAGAAGGCACGCUGAUAUGUAGGUGAAGUGAUUUACUCAUGGAGCUGAAAUCAGUCGAAGAUACCAGCUGGCUGCAACUGUUUAUUAAAAACACAGCACUGUGCAAACACGAAAGUGGACGUAUACGGUGUGACGCCUGCCCGGUGCCGGAAGGUUAAUUGAUGGGGUUAUCCGUAAGGAGAAGCUCUUGAUCGAAGCCCCGGUAAACGGCGGCCGUAACUAUAACGGUCCUAAGGUAGCGAAAUUCCUUGUCGGGUAAGUUCCGACCUGCACGAAUGGCGUAAUGAUGGCCAGGCUGUCUCCACCCGAGACUCAGUGAAAUUGAACUCGCUGUGAAGAUGCAGUGUACCCGCGGCAAGACGGAAAGACCCCGUGAACCUUUACUAUAGCUUGACACUGAACACUGGUCCUUGAUGUGUAGGAUAGGUGGGAGGCUUUGAAGUGUGGACGCCAGUCUGCAUGGAGCCAUCCUUGAAAUACCACCCUUUAAUGGCUGGUGUUCUAACGUGGACCCGUAAUCCGGGUUGCGGACAGUGUCUGGUGGGUAGUUUGACUGGGGCGGUCUCCUCCUAAAGAGUAACGGAGGAGCACGAAGGUUAGCUAAUCCUGGUCGGACAUCAGGAGGUUAGUGCAAAGGCAUAAGCUAGCUUGACUGCGAGAGUGACGGCUCGAGCAGGUGCGAAAGCAGGUCUUAGUGAUCCGGUGGUUCUGAAUGGAAGGGCCAUCGCUCAACGGAUAAAAGGUACUCCGGGGAUAACAGGCUGAUACCGCCCAAGAGUUCAUAUCGACGGCGGUGUUUGGCACCUCGAUGUCGGCUCAUCACAUCCUGGGGCUGAAGUAGGUCCCAAGGGUAUGGCUGUUCGCCAUUUAAAGUGGUACGCGAGCUGGGUUUAGAACGUCGUGAGACAGUUCGGUCCCUAUCUGCCGUGGGCGCUGGAGAAUUGAGGGGGGCUGCUCCUAGUACGAGAGGACCGGAGUGGACGCAUCACUGGUGUUCGGGUUGUCAUGCCAAUGGCAUUGCCCGGUAGCUAAAUGCGGAAGAGAUAAGUGCUGAAAGCAUCUAAGCACGAAACUUGCCCCGAGAUGAGUUCUCCCUGAGACUUUAAGUCUCCUGAAGGAACGUUGAAGACGACGACGUUGAUAGGUCGGGUGUGUAAGUGUAGCGAUACAUUGAGCUAACCGAUACUAAUGAACCGUGAGGCUUAACCUUACAACGCCGAAG